GACGAACGCUGGCGGCGUGCUUAACACAUGCAAGUCGAACGGAAAGGCCCUGCUUUUGUGGGGUGCUCGAGUGGCGAACGGGUGAGUAACACGUGAGUAACCUGCCCUUGACUUUGGGAUAACUUCAGGAAACUGGGGCUAAUACCGGAUAGGAGCUCCUGCUGCAUGGUGGGGGUUGGAAAGUUUCGGCGGUUGGGGAUGGACUCGCGGCUUAUCAGCUUGUUGGUGGGGUAGUGGCUUACCAAGGCUUUGACGGGUAGCCGGCCUGAGAGGGUGACCGGCCACAUUGGGACUGAGAUACGGCCCAGACUCCUAAGGGAGGCAGCAGUGGGGAAUAUUGCACCAUGGGCGGAAGCCUGAUGCAGCAACGCCGCGUGCGGGAUGACGGCCUUCGGGUUGUAAACCGCUUUCGCCUGUGACGAAGCGUGAGUGACGGUAAUGGGUAAAGAAGCACCGGCUAACUACGUG
rnacentral:rRNA from 1 species